AAAAGACCUCCCUGUGUCAUCUGAAAAGUGCUGCUUCCUGCCUCAGAUGUUUCUUCCACCUUGUGUUAACUAUGGAAACUGUGGAUUAGUUGUCCGCUACCAAGACCCUCGAGUACAAAUGUCAUCACGGGGCAUGUAUGAUCAGCAGCAGCACCCUCCGGAUUAUCAAUGGUAUGUUCCGGACCAGUUUCCGCCAGAUGUGCAGCACAAGGCAAAUGAUACUUCCUCAGAGAAAGAAGUCCAUCACUGAAAGCAUAUGAACUAGAGAAGUGCAGAUGAAUUACACAUGCUUCCAUACUGUGAAAGACUGGGAGCUAGCCUGAUGUUUCCUCGUAACUUUUUUGUUCUUUGUUUUUUGCGUAUAGCUCCUUAUGUCUCCAGUGCAUGUUACUUGUACCUGGUGAAAUCCCAGUGGGGGUGGUGAUGAUGAUGGAGACACAGAUAAAUCCUUCACAGAUGUGAUCUUCAAGAACUGGUUAAAUUAUCUGGGGAAACACCACUCCUUUCCCUUCCUUUUGUGGAAGAUGCUGCCCAUACUAGCUACAUGGAUCUAUAGAAACAUUUUAUGAUACAACAUUUAACUACUGCUGGAUAUUAAGAGGAUGUUGCAUCUGAUUUGAAUAUAAAAUGUUUAAGCACAUUAAUAUUGUGAUCUUGUGUAAGAAUCACAAUCCAUUUUAUUUAAUUUCUGAAAAUUAUUUGUUGUGCCAUUUUGAAUUCUGCACUCAUUUCUCUUCAUAUAUAUUUAUGGAAUGGUAGCUCUUCAGAGAAGCAGCUGUCUACUACUCUAUGUUUGUACUGUGCCUAGUAUAAAUGAGCCCCG
rnacentral:lncRNA from 1 species